rnacentral:rRNA from 1 species
GACGAACGCUGGCGGCGUGCCUAAUACAUGCAAGUAGAACGCUGAAGGAGGAGCUUGCUUCUCUGGAUGAGUUGCGAACGGGUGAGUAACGCGUAGGUAACCUGCCUGGUAGCGGGGGAUAACUAUUGGAAACGAUAGCUAAUACCGCAUAAGAGUAGAUGUUGCAUGACAUUUGCUUAAAAGGUGCAAUUGCAUCACUACCAGAUGGACCUGCGUUGUAUUAGCUAGUUGGUGGGGUAACGGCUCACCAAGGCGACGAUACAUAGCCGACCUGAGAGGGUGAUCGGCCACACUGGGACUGAGACACGGCCCAGACUCCUACGGGAGGCAGCAGUAGGGAAUCUUCGGCAAUGGACGGAAGUCUGACCGAGCAACGCCGCGUGAGGGAAGAAGGGUUUCGGAUCGUAAAGCUCUGUUGUAAGAGAAGAACGAGUGUGAGAGUGGAAAGUUCACACUGUGACGGUAUCUUACCAGAAAGGGACGGCUAACCACGUG